UACAGAGGGUGCAAGCGUUAAUCGGAAUUACUGGGCGUAAAGCGUGCGCAGACGGUUGCGUAAGUCAGAUGUGAAAGCCCAGGGCUCAACCUUGGAACUGCAUCCGAUACUGGCGUGCUAGAGAAUUGGAGAGGAGUCUAGAAUUCACGGUGUAGCAGUGAAAUGCGUAGAUAUCGUGAGGAAUACCAAGUGCGAAGGCAGGACUCUGGACAUUUUCUGACGCUGAGACACGAAGGCUAGGGGAGCAAACGGG
rnacentral:rRNA from 1 species